rnacentral:rRNA from 1 species
GAUGAACGCUAGCGACAGGCCUAACACAUGCAAGUCGAGGGGCAGCACAAGGAGUAAUCUGAGGUGGCGACCGGCGCACGGGUGAGUAACACGUAUGCAACCUGCCUGUAAGCGGGGAAUAACCCGUUGAAAGACGGACUAAUACCGCAUAAUACUAAAUUACUGCAUGGUAAUUUAUUUAAACAUUUAUGGCUUACAGAUGGGCAUGCGCAUGAUUAGCUAGUUGGAGAGGUAACGGCUCCCCAAGGCAACGAUCAUUAGGGGUUCUGAGAGGAAGGUCCCCCACACUGGUACUGAGACACGGACCAGACUCCUACGGGAGGCAGCAGUGAGGAAUAUUGGUCAAUGGGCAGAGCCUGAACCAGCCAAGUCGCGUGCAGGAAGAAUGUCCUAUGGAUUGUAAACUGCUUUUGCAGGGGAAUAAAGUGAGCCACGUGUGGUUUUUUGUAUGUACUCUGCGAAUAAGGAUCGGCUAACUCCGUGCC